rnacentral:sRNA from 1 species
UGCAGAAUCCCGUGAACCAUCGAGUCUUUGAACGCAAGUUGCGCCCGACGCCUUCGGGCUGAGGGCACGCCUGCCUGGGCGUCACGCAUCGCGUCGUCCCCUCCCAUUCCCUCACGGGUUUGGUUAUGGGACGGAUAAUGGCUUCCCGUUAGCUCGGUUAGCCCAAAAAGGAUCCCUCAUCGACGGAUGUCACAACCAGUGGUGGUUGAAAGAUCAUUGGUGCUGUUGUGCUUCACCCUGUCGCUUGCUAGGGCAUCGUCAUAAACUAACGGCGUGUAAUGCGCCUUCGACCGCGACCCCAGGUCAGACGGGACUACCCGCUGAGUUUAAGCAUAUCAAUAAGCGGUGGAGAAGAAACUUACAAGGAUUCCCCUAGUAACGGCGAGCGAACCGGGAAUAGCCCAACUUGAGAAUCGGGCGGCCACGCCGUCCGA